rnacentral:rRNA from 1 species
CCAGACUCCUACGGGAGGCAGCAGUGAGGAAUAUUGGUCAAUGGGCGGGAGCCUGAACCAGCCGAGCCGCGUGAGGGAAGAAGGUACAGCGUAUCGUAAACCUCUUUUGUCAGGGAACAAAGGCGGGGACUAGUCCCCGGAUGAGGGUACCUGAAGAAAAAGCAUCGGCUAACUCCGUGCCAGCAGCCGCGGUAAUACGGAGGAUGCGAGCGUUAUCCGGAUUUAUUGGGUUUAAAGGGAGCGUAGAUGGGUUGUUAAGUCAGUUGUGAAAGUUUGCGGCUCAACCGUAAAAUUGCAAUUGAUACUGGCAGUCUUGAGUACAGUUGAGGUAGGCGGAAUUCGUGGUGUAGCGGUGAAAUGCUUAGAUAUCACGAAGAACCCCGAUUGCGAAGGCAGCCUGCCGCAGCGUUACUGACGCUGAAGCUCGAAAGCGCGGGUAUCGAACAGGAUUAGAUACCCCUGUA